UACGAGGGGUCCAAGCGUUGUUCGGAAUUACUGGGCGUAAAGCGGGUGUAGGUGGACUGAUCAGCGGAUGUGAAAGCCCUGGGCUCAACCCAGGAAGUGCAUCCGAUACUGUCAGUCUUGAGUACUGGAGAGGGAAGUGGAAUUCCUGGUGUAGCGGUGAAAUGCGUAGAUAUCAGGAGGAACAGUGGCGAAAGGCGGCUCCUG
rnacentral:rRNA from 1 species